rnacentral:lncRNA from 1 species
GCUCCCCGCCGCUUGUCCCGCCAGCCCGAGGCAUGGAGCCCCACGGCCCAGGACUGGAGAGCCCAGUUCGUCAGUCCAGGUUGGGACUGCUGGUUCCGGGUUGCUCACGAUCACUCUCCCCUCAACACCCGUCCGGCCAGGGCGCGCGCGCAGACACAUAAACACACACGGCUUCCAAGCGCGCAGCCCGCCUCCCGGGCCUCCGCUUUUCCUUCCUCCUCCCCGCUCGGGCGCUUCGGAAGCCCGUGGCGGUUGUGUGCUGCGCCAGGGAAGAGUCCGGGUCGGGGAGACCGCGCUGCCCUCUUUCCCCCCAAGCUCGCGAAACCCCAUGGAUCCGCGGCUGGGCUGGGCAGCGCAGACGCCCAGCUGCCCUCGCCAACCCCAGGCCCAGAGGGGGCCAGGCUGGCCUGGGGGCUGGGCGGCCCGGCUGCACUUGCCGGCGUUGAGAGAGGCUCUGUGAGCCGGAGCCGGCCGCCGAGCCGAGGGAGAGAGCGCAUCAGCCCGCGCGCCUUAAGGCAGAACACACGCCUUUCCCGGAACCUUGAAACCCAGGGGAGCCGCUGCCAUCUUCGCGUGACGAGCAGCGAGACGCCGGUGAUUAAGUGUUUCUUUCCGGCUCCCUCUCCGGGUUGCGGCUCUCCUCCUUUCCACAGGGCUGGAAGAAUAAAAACCUGGGGAAAAACCA